AGCAGCCGCGGUAAUUCCAGCUCCAAUAGCGUAUAUUAAAAUUGUUGCAGUUAAAAAGCUCGUAGUUGAAUUUCGAGACCGGCUUACUGGUCGUGCUAUUGUACGUACUGGUAUAAUCGGUUUCUCCUUUCUGACGAACUAUAAUGCCAUUAAUUUGGUGUUAUAGGGAAUCAGGACUGUUACUUUGAAAAAAUUUAGAGUGUUUAAAGCAGGCUCACGCUUGAAUACAUUAGCAUGGAAUAACGGAAUAGGACGUUUGAUUCUAUUUUGUUGGUUUCUAGGAUCGACGUAAUGAUUAAUAGGGAUAGUUGGGGGCAUUAGUAUUCAAUUGUCAGAGGUGAAAUUCUUGGAUUUAUUGAAGACUAACUACUGCGAAAGCAUUUGCCAAGGAUGUUUUCAUUAAUCAAGAACGAAAGUUAGGGGAUCGAAGACGAUCAGAUACCGUCGUAGUCUUAACCAUAAACUAUGCCGACUAGGGAUCGGAUGAUGUUAAUUUUUUAAUGACUCAUUCGGCGCCUUA
rnacentral:rRNA from 1 species